rnacentral:rRNA from 1 species
GACGUAGGGCGCAAGCGUUGUCCGGAAUUAUUGGGCGUAAAGAGCUCGUAGGCGGUUUGUCGCGUCUGCUGUGAAAACCUAAGGCUCAACCUUGGGCUUGCAGUGGGUACGGGCAGACUAGAGUGCGGUAGGGGUGACUGGAAUUCCUGGUGUAGCGGUGGAAUGCGCAGAUAUCAGGAGGAACACCGAUGGCGAAGGCAGGUCACUGGGCCGCAACUGACGCUGAGGAGCGAAAGCAUGGGGAGCGAACAGG